UUUCCAUUUUCCCUCUAUGGAUCUUCCUGGUGUGAUAGUUCCCUGUCCAUCGUCACAAAUAGCUUACAGAGACAGUGGUAACCAUGGAGAUGUCCGGGGACAUUGUUUAUACCAAUGAAGAUGUUUUCUGGGAACCGUUUGGAGUUGACAACCAUAACUAUGUCUUUGAAGAGUCCAUGUGUGAAACUCCAGAUGUGUCUACUUACUACCAGACUGGGAAUGAGGAGACCCCAAGAAGCACACCACAACCUGGCUACUCAGGUUCUGAGAGCUCAGUGAAGAGACCAGUGAAGAGACCCUUCCUAGUUGCUGCAGUGUGUCUGGGGCUGCUGUGUGUURUCCUACUGGCUGGGAUCAUUGGGUUGUCAGUCUCCUGUAAGUUUGACAAGUACAAUUGUGCUUAUCAUUUAUUUCUAGGUAACAAGUAUGAAAUGGGUUAUAAAGCAACCAUUGCUUCGUCUGUUUUUAGAUCACGUUCACAUUGGCAACUUAUAGAGAGACAAAGACAAUCUUAACAAUUUGCUUUCUGGUCAAUGAGUUGACAUUUAUUUUCUUUGUAGAAUAUUGAUUAAAUUCAUUGUGAUUUCA